rnacentral:rRNA from 1 species
CCCUUCGGGGUGAGUGGCGCACGGGUGCGUAACGCGUGGGAACCUGCCUUUAGGUUCGGAAUAACAGUUAGAAAUGACUGCUAAUACCGGAUAAUGUCUUCGGACCAAAGAUUUAUCGCCUUUAGAUGGGCCCGCGUUAGAUUAGGUAGUUGGUAGGGUAAUGGCCUACCAAGCCGACGAUCUAUAGCUGGUCUGAGAGGAUGAUCAGCCACACUGGGACUGAGACACGGCCCAGACUCCUACGGGAGGCAGCAGUGGGGAAUAUUGGACAAUGGGCGAAAGCCUGAUCCAGCAAUGCCGCGUGAGUGAUGAAGGCCUUAGGGUUGUAAAGCUCUUUUACCAGGGAUGAUAAUGACAGUACCUGGAGAAUAAGCUCCGGCUAACUCCGUGCCAGCAGCCGCGGUAAUACGGAGGGAGCUAGCGUUGUUCGGAAUUACUGGGCGUAAAGCGCGCGUAGGCGGCUUUUUAAGUCAGAGGUGAAAUCCCAGGGCUCAACCCUGGAACUGCCUUUGAAACUGGAAAGCUAGAAUAUUGGAGAGGUAAGUGGAAUUCCGAGUGUAGAGGUGAAAUUCGUAGAUAUUCGGAAGAACACCAGUGGCGAAGGCGACUUACUGGACAAUUAUUGACGCUGAGGUGCGAAAGCGUGGGGAGCAAACA